CCUACGGGUGGCAGCAGUGGGGAAUAUUGGACAAUGGGCGCAAGCCUGAUGCAGCAACGCCGCGUGAAGGAAGAAGGCUUUCGGAUUGUAAAGUUCUUUUAUCAGGGACGAAAAAGGUGAUACUGGAUUACGAAUAAGCGACGACUAACUACGGGGCAGCAGCAGCGGUAAUACGGAGGCUGCAAGCGUUAGCCGGAUUUAAUGGGUAUAAAGGCCGCGUUGGGGGGGGUGUAAGUCAGAUGUGAAAAUCAGGGGCUCAACCUGUGGAUUGCAUUUGAUACUGGUAGUCUAGAGUGCAGUUGAGGUAGGCGGAAUUCGUGGUGUAGCGGUGAAAUGCUUAGAGAUAAGGAAGAACACCAAUGGCGAAGGCAGCUUACUGAGCUGUAACUGACGUUGAGGCACGAAAGCGUGGGGAGCAAACAGGAUUAGAUACCCGUGUAGUC
rnacentral:rRNA from 1 species